CACGUAGGCUGACUUUUAAGUCAGGGGUGAAAUCCCGAGGCUCAACCUCGGAACUGCCUUUGAUACUGGAAGUCUUGAGUCCGAGAGAGGUGAGUGGAACUCCGAGUGUAGAGGUGAAAUUCGUAGAUAUUCGGAAGAACACCAGUGGCGAAGGCGGCUCACUGGCUCGGUACUGACGCUGAGGUGCGAAAGCGUGGGGAGCAAACA
rnacentral:rRNA from 1 species